GACGAACGCUGGCGGCGUGCUUAACACAUGCAAGUCGAACGGAAAGGCCCUGCUUUUGUGGGGUGCUCGAGUGGCGAACGGGUGAGUAACACGUGAGUAACCUGCCCUUGACUUUGGGAUAACUUCAGGAAACUGGGGCUAAUACCGGAUAGGAGCUCCUGCUGCAUGGUGGGGGUUGGAAAGUUUCGGCGGUUGGGGAUGGACUCGCGGCUUAUCAGCUUGUUGGUGGGGUAGUGGCUUACCAAGGCUUUGACGGGUAGCCGGCCUGAGAGGGUGACCGGCCACAUUGGGACUGAGGUACGGCCCAGACUCCUACGGGAGGCAGCAGUGGGAAAUAUUGCACAAUGGGCGGAAGCCUGAUGCAGCAACGCCGCGUGCGGGAUGACGGCCUUCGGGUUGUAAACCGCUUUCGCCUGUGACGAAGCGUGAGUGACGGUAAUGGAUAAAGAAGCACCGGCUAACUACGUG
rnacentral:rRNA from 1 species